AUGACGUGAGAUCUUCAAAUCUGAAAAAUGGUUGUGAUGUAGUGACCAACUCUGACAAUAUGAAGGCGGUUGAUCAUAUUGAUAGAGUGAGAGAUGAGAAUGUUCAUAGGAGGUAUGACUUGAGGAGUGCAAGAUUUAAGAGUACUUCUGAUGUACCUAGUAGUUCGAGCAAAAGAAAGCUGAAUCGACAUGAUGGAAGGAACAAUGAGCGCAUGAACAGAAACAAUGUAGUGAGGAGUCCAACCAUCCAA